UGCAGUUUAAAUAUGAAAGAAAUGCACAUGUUAGUGCCUGCUGAGAGUUCCAAGGGAGCUGAAGGGUUUGGGAAGGGCCAGGAGCCCGUGAAGGGCUCAGGAGCUGCUGCUGCCGGGAGGGAGGAAAUGCACCAAUGGCUCCCAGCAGAGUCUGUGCUUUGAGGCUCUUUCCCAAACAGCUGCAGGAGGGAAAGCAGCUGAGUUUGGAGGAAGAGUUUUCUGCUGAGGUUUCCUGUUUGGAGCUGUCACAAGCUUGAGCUGCUCAAGGGAAACGCGGCUCUGCUUCCAGCAGGGCCCAACUGCCCGGGAGCACAACUUGGUUCCCUGGCCCUGAGCCAACGGGCAGCAGCAGCUUCUGUUCCCUCCUGGCUCUUGUGUCAUUUCCAGCAGCACAAGACACACCAAGAAAAGCUCCUCCAGAACAUGCCAUGAGAAACACAACCUGAUUUCAUUGCAUGAAGGAGCUCUGACAGUCCCACGGGCUCAGGUUUGUUUGUCAGUGAACAGAGCAGGGAAAAGCACAGCCACAUUCCCUGCACAGGGAAUUCACAGGAGGAAAGUGCAGCGCUGGAGGAUGUGCUUGGAUACAACGUUCCCACGGCAGUUUUGGGGAUAAAAUCGUCAGCAGAGAGAAAAGAAAAAGUGCUACCAAGGGUGGUCUGGGGAGGGCUGGUGCUUCCCGGGAGGCUCCCGAAGCUCAGCAGUGUGGAAGAGUGGCUAGCUAACAAAGGUCGUGUUCCCAUGCAGCAAUUAGCUGAGAAAGAAUUAAACAACAGUAGAGUGUAGUUGGUAUGAGAUGUUGCAAUGUCAGAAAGACCUUAGUGAUAACUGUGAACUGAGAACAGGACACUGUGAUCAGAAGAAUGUGGAUUCAGCACAGAUGAACGACCACAAGAAUGUGGAACUAGGGAGUUUGGAGUUGCCAAUAAAGGAGACUUGCUGAUCAUUCA